AAAAUCUGCUCUUCUGAUGUAUUCAUGCACUCUGCCAGGAGCUUCCAGUAGAACCAGGCUUUAGAACAAGGGGUCAUGGUUGUUGCUUUUCCAGAAGGUGCCUUUUCCAGAAGUCCUUUAUCUUUUACAGAAGGAAAUGGUGUCACCUGAAAUUGUGCAGAAGAUGGGUGUUGUAUCGGUCUUCCCUGGGUUCCUCCAGAAGAAGAAAGCAUAAGCCUCACCUUUUCAGAAACAAGAGCUGCCCAGACUGCGACAGACUGGUGGAGAACUGCUGUGAGACGUUUGCAAUGCCUUGCUUGUGCAUCUGCAGUGAGGUUCAGCGGAAAAAGAUAAAGGGCAGAAGAGGGACUCCUGAAGCCACUGAAGGAAGGAAAUCAUUACAGGGUUCUACAGAAGUAGGUCAUGUGCUACAGCUGCUCAUAGUUUAAGAGGAAGAAACAUGGGACCUCAAACAUGGAACAUGACUCCUUCAAAAUGCUUGAGAGCAACCCAAGAAAAACAUCCUCAGAGGCUUAUUUAAUAAACAUUAUCUAUAAUAGUCUCA
rnacentral:lncRNA from 1 species